GGCGGUUCUCGGAUGAUGCACCCUGGAAUCGGGCUCCCUCCUCUCUGGUUCCAGGCGUGUCACCCAAGAACUGCA
rfam:Myotis davidii contig104111, whole genome shotgun sequence.